ensembl:lncRNA
GGUGAUAGACAACAGCUAAUAGGAAUUCCCUGCUGUUACUACACGUACUGCAGCUCGACAUUUAAUCGCUGUCACAUUAUUUUCUUAUCCCAGAUUGUCCUACAUGGUAUCAUAGGAUCAGACAUCUGACAGGCCUAAAGAAGCCUUCUAGAAUAGACCAGACAUUGAAGAUUUGCCUUUGUUGUAAGAAGAGAACAAUGUCCACAGAAGUUAUAUACAUAUCCAUGUAGUAAAAUAUUUUCAUGGACAGUCAUAGCUAAUGUCAACUUUGUGUACCAUUUUGUAUUGAAAUUUCCAACUUGCCCAUCUCUACAAGUCCAUGAAAAACGUCCUUUCUUACACAUUCCAUACAUAAAUGUAUGAAAGUGCUGAAUAUCAUGUGUUUAAAAUGAAUGGGGGUUGAUGUUAAUUUGUUAUGUUAACAAGAAACAGUUUGGUAUUUCCACAUGCAAUUUGACUAUGUUAAUAGUCUACAAUCUAUCACACCAAGAAAUGACAGAAGUAACUUCUUAACUAUGUAAAAGUGUCAGGGAUUUUGCUAAUGUUUCUUCUUCAGAGGAAAGAUAACUCACACUUCCAUCUGGAUCCAGCUCAGCUGCUGCGAAAGAGCAGCAUCAGCAACCAGAGCAGCAGAAACAGCAGAGUCAGAGUUCAGGUCCCAGUGCCAUCCUGUUGUUUCUGAAGAAGAAGGAAAAUGAUACUGGAAAAAUACAGCAGAAUGCAUCAGGAAGAGCACUUUGCAUGUCACAUUGAAGAUUCACACCAGAAAAGGACUGUGAUGCAUAUUCCUGAGGUCUACAGAACACCAGUGAGCUCACUGUUCUGCUGUAUGCUGGCUUUCGUCCUGGACUUCACCUGAGAGGAACAGAGCCAAAGGAAGGAGGAGAUGAGAUCAACAGCAAAAGCAGAAACCGUGAUCAACUUUUACGAGAAGGUCAAUACCUAUAUUCGUCUAAAGAUCUCUUAAAGAGAGGCAUAAAUGCUUUUUCAGUAUGCUUUUCCAUGUAAUGUAAAUUGCCACCGGGAUGUUACAUGAUGACUUGGAGGAUAAGUGGCCAUGAGGCAAUUUCUUUAUUGAGAUGGG